AAAAGGGAUUCCUGCCCCAGGUGGGAAUAUUGCAGAUCAACUCAAGGAGGCAGCAGGGAAGAACUGAAGAAAGCAGAGAUGGGGUAGGUGAGCCAAGACACGGCCAGUGGCACAAAUGAUCCAGGCCAGACAUUCUCCACAAUGGCUUCUGGAUCCCAGGGCGGAGUGGCGGAACAUUGUAAUCGAAAAUUCAUCAGACAGGCAGAGAAACCUCUGACUCCCUCUGCCUUCCAGAAGAUGUGUCUCACCACCAAGCAGAGGCUGGCCAGAGCUAAGAAGCUAAAUCUGCCCCAGAUUGUCCAGACUCAACAAAGCAUGGACGUCCCAUCACAAGGGAUGGAGUGGGUGGAGGAGAAGGGGUUGGAGCUGGAGAAGGUGGCAGAGAGACACAGCAGGGCCCGCGGCAGAAGAGGACACGGCAAAGAGCGUGUGUGCCACCUUGGGAGCGCCACUGGUACAGCACAGGCACAGUGCGGCUACUCCAGGGGACUGGAAACAGAAGCAGCUGGAGACAGAUGGCUUAGAAGAAACAACAGGGAAGGAGAGCAAGUAUCUUUAUUGGAAUGAAGGAUUGAAAUAAGGCUGUCAAAACAAAAAGACCCCAAACCAACCAAACAAAAAACUCCCCAAACAAAUAAAAAACCAACAAAAAGCCCCUCAAAAACUAGACAAAAAAAAAAUAAAAAACAAAAUUAAAAAUAAAAGCACACAAAAAACCAACCACACAAAGACAAUCCCCCAAAACAACAACAAAAAACUCCCCAAACAUUAAGAUUAUCCAUUUCUGGAUGGUGAUAGCAGAUGUGGAUCCAAAGGACUAGUAUGGGCAUCUUUGGGGAGAUUCUGAUGAAGGA